rnacentral:rRNA from 1 species
UACGAAGGGUGCAAACGUUGCUCGGAAUUAUUGGGCGUAAAGCGCACGUAGGCGGCUAUCUAAGUCGGAUGUGAAAUCCCUCGGCUUAACCAAGGAAGUGCACCCGAAACUGGAUAGCUUGAGUACAGAAGAGGAUCGCGGAAUUCCCGGUGUAGAGGUGAAAUUCGUAGAUAUCGAGAGGAACACCUGCGGCGAAGGCGGGUUGCUGGGCUGACACUGACGCUGAGGCGCGAAAGCCAGGGGAGCGAACGGG